UGAGUGGACCACCUGUGAUAUGGAUUCGGAGGAGAUGUGCAAUGAAGUCUAUGUUCUCCUAACAAACAACUAUGUUGAGGAUGAUGAGAACAUGUUUAGGUUCAAUUACUCUAAAGAAUUUCUUCGGUGGGCACUUCGCCCUCCAGGUUUCUAUAGGAGCUGGCACAUUGGAGUCAGAGUGAAGACCUCAAAAAAGUUGGUUGCUUUUAUUACAGGGGUACCUGCUAGGAUACGCGUUCGAGAUAAUGUUGUGAUGAUGGCAGAGAUCAAUUUCCUUUGUGUUCAUAAGAAACUUAGAUCAAAAAGACUUGCUCCUGUUAUGAUAAAA
rnacentral:misc_RNA from 1 species